rnacentral:rRNA from 1 species
CUACGGAGGGUGCAAGCGUUGUUCGGAAUCACUGGGCGUAAAGGGCGCGCAGGCGGUUUGGUAAGUCAGAUGUGAAAGCCCAUGGCUCAACCAUGGAAGUGCAUUUGAAACUGUCAGACUUGAGUACUAGAGGGGAAAGUGGAAUUCCCGGUGUAGAGGUGAAAUUCGUAGAUAUCGGGAGGAAUACCGGUGGCGAAGGCGACUUUCUGGCUAGAUACUGACGCUGAGGCGCGAAAGCGUGGGGAGCAAGCAGGAUUAGAAACCCUAGUAGUCC